rnacentral:lncRNA from 1 species
GCAGGGAAGAGGGGGUGGCCCUGUCUCAUCCCAAAGGAGCUGGGAUCUAGGAGCAGGGAGCAAACUCCCCAGCAGGGAGUGGGGUAGGUGGGGACAGGACAAAGAGUGCUGGGAGAGAGGAGCAGUGCUGGGGCCUGCGGAGGCCUGGGCAGGGGGCUAGCUGGGCCUCUGAGGACAAAAGCAGCAGUGAUGGCAGAGGCUCUUCUCUUGCUGCUUCCUGGAUGCCAUGGAUUGAGUAGCUUUCCUCCGCCAUGCCUUUUCUGCUUUGGAGCCAACUGACCACAGACUGAACCCUCUGAAACUGUGAGCCACAAUAAAUCUCUCUCCUUUAAAUUUCAAUUGUUGGGUAUUUUGUCUGGAAAAUGGGAAUACAACAAAUAUAGGAAAUUGGUACUGAGAAUGGGGUCAUUGCUGUGACUGUACCUGACCAUGUAGAAGCUUUUGAAACUGGUUUGUGGGAAGAGUUUGGAAAAGUUUGGAGAUGCAGGCUAGAGAAGCUCUAGCAUGCUAUAAGCAGAGCUUGAGGGGAGAUUCCGAUCAGAGCUUAGA